GCUUGCUUCUCUGAUGUUAGCGGCGGACGGGUGAGUAACACGUGGAUAACCUACCUAUAAGACUGGGAUAACUUCGGGAAACCGGAGCUAAUACCGGAUAAUAUUUUGAACCGCAUGGUUCAAAAGUGAAAGACGGUCUUGCUGUCACUUAUAGAUGGAUCCGCGCUGCAUUAGCUAGUUGGUAAGGUAACGGCUUACCAAGGCAACGAUGCAUAGCCGACCUGAGAGGGUGAUCGGCCACACUGGAACUGAGACACGGUCCAGACUCCUACGGGAGGCAGCAGUAGGGAAUCUUCCGCAAUGGGCGAAAGCCUGACGGAGCAACGCCGCGUGAGUGAUGAAGGUCUUCGGAUCGUAAAACUCUGCUAUUAGGGAAGAACAUAUGUGUAAGUAACUGUGCACAUCUUGACGGUACCUAAUCAGAAAGCCACGGCUAACUACGUGCCAGCAGCCGCGGUAAUACGUAGGUGGCAAGCGUUAUCCGGAAUUAUUGGGCGUAAAGCGCGCGUAGGCGGUUUUUUAAGUCUGAUGUGAAAGCCCACGGCUCAACCGUGGAGGGUCAUUGGAAACUGGAAAACUUGAGUGCAGAAGAGGAAAGUGGAAUUCCAUGUGUAGCGGUGAAAUGCGCAGAGAUAUGGAGGAACACCAGUGGCGAAGGCGACUUUCUGGUCUGUAACUGACGCUGAUGUGCGAAAGCGUGGGGAUCAAACAGGAUUAGAUACCCUGGUAGUCCACGCCGUAAACGAUGAGUGCUAAGUGUUAGGGGUUUCCGCCCCUUAGUGCUGCAGCUAACGCAUUAAGCACUCCGCCUGGGGAGUACGACCGCAAGUG
rnacentral:rRNA from 1 species